AUAAAAACAGAUGAGCUUUUUUUUCUAUAAUCUAUAUUUAUUUUAAAAUGUAUAACAUUUUGAUUCAUAGAACUAUUCCAUUUCAUCCUUCAAAUUGACAAAGCGCAGAGGAUAUUCCAGCUUGAUUAAAAGGAUAAUAUUAAAUCAUGUAUAACUAUUAUAGCUACUGUACUUGUCUUUUCUUUCAAUGCCAGUUUAAUUUAUUUUCAUAAAGUACUUGCAAAGAUUUGCUCAGAAAACUUAGAAAGAAAAUCAUACCAAGUAUCAAUUCAGGCUACAUUACACCUUAACUUUAAAAUAUGAGUAUAAAUUUGUCACAUGAAGUAACUUUUUCUUUGCUUACAAAGCAAGCCUGGGCAACAGCAAUAUUGAGAGGGUCAUAAUUGAAAUAAAUCUAUACACAGUUGUAGACAAUGAACAAACACUUUAUUAAGAAAUUUAAACUAAGGCAGAAACAUUAAUUGAAACAAUUUUACCCUAAACAGCACAAGAGUGAACAUGGCCAUCUCAUGAGGUUGCAUAUAUUUUUAAGCUCAGGGAUGAACAAUCACAGUAUAUAAACUCAAUGACAAUCACACUGUUUUACAUUGCAACCUAGCCCAAACCUCCUACAGGGUGGCGGGCAGAGUUCAAAUCUAGGACAAUUGAGACCACAGCCCAGAGUGCAUACCCACGUGACCAGACGGCCAUCCCACUGAUAGAAAAAACACACAACCAAAAGGUCUGAAAACAAUCUCUUAAUAAGCUGAUUUACUGUCUCAACAAGUCUUAACAUACAAACAUUAGCAUCCUGUUAGACUAACAGGCAAUAGGCUCUAGCGCCGAAGAUAAAAACAUGAGACUGAAAUGACAUGAUGAGAAUGAUCAACCAAGCUCAUAGGCACAUGUUGACAAAUGAGAUAUACAAUGAAUCACAAGUAUAUACAAAAUAACACAGUCUACUGUAAACACUUUGAAGGAAUAAAUAAAAAGGUGGUAGACUUAAAGGGGUCUGACUAUAUUUAGACUCAAUAACAAUAAUGUAUUUUUAUGCAAACCUAAAUACACAAUUUGCUGGCUCAAGUGAAUGUACACUAAUUUUACUUUGCAAUCAUCAGUUUUUAUUUUAACGAUUAGCUGAAAUAGUUUCAUCAACCCAAAAGAAUGAGAAUAUAUAAAAAAUACUUUUUUUUAAAAUGGACUAUUCCUCCUUUAUACAGCUGUCCAACCUUUGUAAGAAUGGUUAUUUGGCUCUUAAUCACUAAUGAAUGAUAGAU
rnacentral:sRNA from 1 species